rnacentral:lncRNA from 1 species
CGCAAAUAGAAACACGAAGCUUACGGCUAAGAAGAAGUCCAUGGACAUGCUCAAGAAGAGACUCAAGGAAUUUAACUGAUGCUAUAUAAGUAAGCAUUACUGCUGCACUAAUAAGACCAAACCUUCCCACUCACAUCAUCAUUAUCACCAUUUAGUUUCACUAUUCCCUUAAUUUGCCUGUUUCUGGUUAGCCUCUAGUUUGUUUUCUUUUGAUGUCUUCAUUAUGUUCUUUGACGAACCAUUUUAUUAAUCAAUUUCAGUUUUGUCCUAAUUGACAAAUCUUCUACAUGGCUUCUUACUCAAUCUUCGACUCUUUGUAUGAUUGAUCUUGUGCAGGAGUCAAUAGUCUAAGCGAAAAACUUCUAGCUUUAGUAUCUAAUUUGACAAAAAAAACAAAAGUUGCAACCUUUGUUACUACAUUGACUCCAGCACAGGGGAUUGGAGGGUAUUUUCUGUGAUGAGUUAUGCAAUAGAAGAAUGUGUUGUGUGGAAAGUUUCUUUUGUCUUCUAAUUUGCCAUAUCCAAAACGUGAACACGUCUCUCAUUUCGACAUGGAGAAUCUUGCAUGCCUCUCCUACAUUCACAUCUUCAGUAAGAACAAGAGUAGCAUGAUUGGUGCAUCGUCGCAACAACAAAAAGACCCUGAGCAGCAAUGGCAGAGCUCACAGAAGACUCUCUAACCCAUUCUUGAUUCUAUCCAACUAUAAAGCCACUCUUAAGAAAUUAAAGAGCAUGAGGCCUGUGUUGGGUGGUUGAGUUAUCUCUCCUUCACUUGGUUUUAUAUGUAGUGUCUUGGAUUCUAGGUUGUGACCUGGCCUUUUUAGAGUAAGGUUUCCAUUUCAUGAAAUACUCUCGUAUUAUCAAACUGUGUAUGCUACUGUAUCUAAACCCUUUUUUCAGUUAUGGGGAUGGAACUUGAUGUUCAAAGGUUCUUACAGCAGCAGUUCGACUUCCAGCAUUUUCCUAUUUCAUAUCUUCGCUUUGCAGCUCAUCGUGUUGCUAACCAGUAUGGACUAGCUACACCGGUUCAAGACAGUGCUGCUGUGGAUGGCAAUGAGAACAUAAUCCUUGUGACAAAUACAGCGGCUACACAAUCGGAAUAUCAGCACAUGAAAGUUUCCAUCAAGAGCCGACCUUCUAAAGUGUACCUGAGUGUUACAUGUCCAUAAUGUUGGCUACUGAGAUAUCAAUGCACGAGAUACGAAUCUGUCUUCGAUGUCUUUUAUAUACGUUGAUUCUUCCAAACUCGUGAGACGCGACAAAAAAAUGUAUUGACUUAAAUAGACAAAAAAUGUUACAGGUACUAUUAUAUAAUAACACUGCUUCCAACUGUUUUUUUCUGAGCAAUACACACAGGCAAGAUGAGAUUGACAAAACUCUCGUUUACGAACCAAUUUGGCGGCCAAGGAACAUCACAAUCGAUUUCAAUGGCGUCCUGAAAAACAAUAACACCAAUGCUUGUGACAAGUGCCAGGAAUACUAGUAGUCUAGUAUUGACAUUAGAUAAGGAUGCCAAAAGGGAAAGUAUCCGUAAGAGAGAUGAUACCGAGUGUCCAUGGAGUUGCAAGAUAAAUGAGUAACUUUCAAACUGCUAAUGUACUGAACAGAUUAGAUAUAGAGAUUGCUUACCAUAGAGGAAAUAACGGUCUUUGGUUUAUGAUUCCUUGCUGUUCAGCCUCCUCACUGUCUCUUUGUGGAUCUGUGUGGACAAGUCUUUGGAAUUUUUCAGACAGUGCUUUGUAAGACUGAAUGUCUGUUGGUUCCACUUGGCUGAUCGCUGCUUUUAAAUGCCGCAUGCUUAUUUCUUCUGCUUCAAGACUCUCCUGAUUGAUUAAAAACAACUUGAGACACCACCGCUGCUAACAAGAAGAGAAGAAGACGAAGAAGCUGGAGAAGAAGCUAACCUCGAGUGCGGCAAUAGCUGCUUCUCUACAUAUCAAUGAUAUGUCAGCUCCUGUGUACCCUUUGGUAACUGAAGCGAGCUCUUUUAGACAAAUAUCAGAGCUGCAAGGAAUUUUCCGCAGAUGGAUUUUGAGUAUUGCUUCACGAUCAGCUUCAUUUGGAGGUCCCACAUAUAGCAACCGGUCAAAGCGUCCUUCAACGUUAUAUAAACAUAUUCAAUGUCACAAAACGAACUUCCAUAAUUGUUUGAGAAAAUCAAAAACUAACCAGGUCUUAGAAGAGCAGAAUCGAUCUUGUCAGGCCGAUUUGUGGCAGCAAUAACAGUAACACCAACUCUUUGAUGCAGACCUGAGUUUUGAAAAUCAAGCAAUAAUAAUUUAAGCUUUUAGAACCUUUUAGCUAAAACAAUCCCAAAGGUUUGAUGUGAUGUUACUAACCAUCCAGCUCCACAAGAAGUUGGCUCAUCACUCUAUCUGAAACCGAAACCCCAUCAUUCUCUUUCCCCAGCUGAUAAACUUGUUGUCGAGUAGCCAACCUGAGAACUUCAUGAACCCAGUGAUUAGAGAGAGGAACUACAACACUUUGGAUUACAAGAAAGUGGCUACGAUCUGCGACAAGUUUAAGGAUUCUCCUGACGGGAUAUUCGGAAGUCUCGCAAAUAGAAACACGAAGCUUACGGCUAAGAAGAAGUCCAUGGACAUGCUCAAGAAGAGACUCAAGGAAUUUAACUGAUGCUAUAUAAGUAAGCAUUACUGCUGCACUAAUAAGACCAAACCUUCCCACUCACAUCAUCAUUAUCACCAUUUAGUUUCACUAUUCCCUUAAUUUGCCUGUUUCUGGUUAGCCUCUAGUUUGUUUUCUUUUGAUGUCUUCAUUAUGUUCUUUGACGAACCAUU